UACGAGGGGGGCAAGCGUUGUUCGGAAUUACUGGGCGUAAAGCGUGCGCAGGCGGUUUUGUAAGCCAGAUGUGAAAUCCCCGGGCUUAACCUGGGAAUGGCAUUUGGGACUGCAAGGCUUGAGUGCGGCAGAGGAGACUGGAAUUCCUGGUGUAGCAGUGAAAUGCGUAGAUAUCAGGAGGAACACCGAUGGCGAAGGCAGGUCUCUGGGCUGACACUGACGCUCAUGCACGAAAGCGUGGGGAGCAAACAGG
rnacentral:rRNA from 1 species